rnacentral:rRNA from 2 species
UACGGAGGGGGCUAGCGUUGUUCGGAAUUACUGGGCGUAAAGCGCACGUAGGCGGUUAUUCAAGUCAGAGGUGAAAGCCCGGGGCUCAACCCCGGAACGGCCUUUGAAACUAGAUGACUAGAAUCUUGGAGAGGCGAGUGGAAUUCCGAGUGUAGAGGUGAAAUUCGUAGAUAUUCGGAAGAACACCAGUGGCGAAGGCGACUCGCUGGACAAGUAUUGACGCUGAGGUGCGAAAGCGUGGGGAGCAAACAGG